GAUGAACGCUGGCGGCGUGCCUAAUACAUGCAAGUCGAGCGAACGGACGAGAAGCUUGCUUCUCUGAUGUUAGCGGCGGACGGGUGAGUAACACGUGGAUAACCUACCUAUAAGACUGGGAUAACUUCGGGAAACCGGAGCUAAUACCGGAUGAUAUUUUGAACCGCAUGGUUCAAAAGUGAAAGACGGUCUUGCUGUCACUUAUAGAUGGAUCCGCGCUGCAUUAGCUAGUUGGUAAGGUAACGGCUUACCAAGGCAACGAUGCAUAGCCGACCUGAGAGGGUGAUCGGCCACACUGGAACUGAGACACGGUCCAGACUCCUACGGGAGGCAGCAGUAGGGAAUCUUCCGCAAUGGGCGAAAGCCUGACGGAGCAACGCCGCGUGAGUGAUGAAGGUCUUCAGAUCGUAAAACUCUGUUAUUAGGGAAGAACAUAUGUGUAAGUAACUGUGCACAUCUUGACGGUACCUAAUCAGAAAGCCACGGCUAACUACGUG
rnacentral:rRNA from 1 species